rfam:Oryza sativa Indica Group scaffold000166 genomic scaffold, whole genome shotgun sequence.
AAAAAAACAAACCCUUGAUUUUCGUAUCCAACGUUUGUCCGUCCGUCUUAUUUGAAAAAAUUAAAAAGACAAGCCACGCAUACAGUAUUAAUCAUGUUUUAUCAUCUAACAACAAUGAAAAUACUAAUUAUAAAAAAAUUUAUAUAAGACGGAUAGUUAAACGUUGGACACGAAAAUUCAGGGUUUGUCUUUUU